rnacentral:rRNA from 1 species
AUUACUCCUACGGGAGGCAGCAGUAAGGAAUAUUGGUCAAUGGUCGCAAGACUGAACCAGCCAUGCCGCGUGCAGGAAGACGGUCCUAUGGAUUGUAAACUGCUUUUAUACAGGAAGAAACCCUCCCACGUGUGGGAGCUUGACGGUACUGUAGGAAUAAGGAUCGGCUAACUCCGUGCCAGCAGCCGCGGUAAUAAU